AACGAACGCUGGCGGCAUGCCUAACACAUGCAAGUCGAACGAAGGCUUCGGCCUUAGUGGCGCACGGGUGCGUAACGCGUGGGAAUCUGCCCUUUGCUUCGGAAUAACAGUUAGAAAUGACUGCUAAUACCGGAUAAUGACUUCGGUCCAAAGAUUUAUCGGCAAAGGAUGAGCCCGCGUAAGAUUAGGUAGUUGGUGGGGUAAUGGCCUACCAAGCCGACGAUCUUUAGCUGGUCUGAGAGGAUGAUCAGCCACACUGGGACUGAGACACGGCCCAGACUCCUACGGGAGGCAGCAGUGGGGAAUAUUGGACAAUGGGCGAAAGCCUGAUCCAGCAAUGCCGCGUGAGUGAUGAAGGCCUUAGGGUUGUAAAGCUCUUUUACCCGGGAUGAUAAUGACAGUACCGGGAGAAUAAGCUCCGGCUAACUCCGUGCCAGCAGCCGCCGCAGUAA
rnacentral:rRNA from 1 species